rnacentral:lncRNA from 1 species
CACCCCGUGUCCUAUCGCCAUGACACCGGCUUGAAUCACAGUGACAUUGGCUUAGGCAAGGAGUUGACCGUCCUCGAAGUGGGGAUGGUAGCUGCAGCGAUGACAGGAGCAGAGUUUAUACCUUGGAGGGGCACUACUUCUGGGUAAGUCGCAGGGUGUGGGGUGAUGACUUCUGUGCCUGGCCGCCACACCUCCAGGGAGAAGGCCCUGCCACAAACCGCCAUCGCACCCGAGGUUGAACAAAUUUAAUGUGGGACACCUCAGCAAACCUUUGGCUGUCGCUUUGCUGCCUUCCCAGCUUGAUGGGCAGGUGCAGGCAGGUCAGCAGGGGACCCUGCUUCGUGUGGAUACCGAGCUCUACCACCUGCAACAAGCAACCUUGUCAGCUGCAGAGGGAGAGAAUCACCGGGUGCUGGCUUUUCAGGGUCACUUCCAGGGGCAACUCACGGGCCAGACCUUGUAGCACGGCCUUCCCCGGGGCUGGGAGUAGGAAAAGUCAGCGCCAUCCGUCAGCUGGUAGCAGAUGGAUGGGACAUCAUGAAGCAUUUUUGCACCUGAAACAAAGUGGACUAUGGAGAACAAAUUGGUGA